rnacentral:rRNA from 1 species
GGCGGCAUGCCUUACACAUGCAAGUCGAACGGCAGCGCGGGAGCAAUCCUGGCGGCGAGUGGCGAACGGGUGAGUAAUACAUCGGAACGUGCCCAAUCGUGGGGGAUAACGCAGCGAAAGCUGUGCUAAUACCGCAUACGAUCUACGGAUGAAAGCAGGGGAUCGCAAGACCUUGCGCGAAUGGAGCGGCCGAUGGCAGAUUAGGUAGUUGGUGAGGUAAAGGCUCACCAAGCCUUCGAUCUGUAGCUGGUCUGAGAGGACGACCAGCCACACUGGGACUGAGACACGGCCCAGACUCCUACGGGAGGCAGCAGUGGGGAAUUUUGGACAAUGGGCGCAAGCCUGAUCCAGCCAUGCCGCGUGCAGGAUGAAGGCCUUCGGGUUGUAAACUGCUUUUGUACGGAACGAAACGGCUCUUUCUAAUAAAGAGGGCUAAUGACGGUACCGUAAGAAUAAGCACCGGCUAACUACGUGCCAGCAGCCGCGGUAAUACGUAGGGUGCGAGCGUUAAUCGGAAUUACUGGGCGUAAAGCGUGCGCAGGCGGUGAUGUAAGACAGUUGUGAAAUCCCCGGGCUCAACCUGG